rnacentral:misc_RNA from 1 species
AGGUCUCAUGGUCCGUGAGUGGCGACGCAGACAGACAUAUCGAUCGAUUCGAUCGAUCUGCUCGCGACCAACGGACCCUGAGUGCGGAUUUAGUGUUUAUUAUUAUUAACUUUUUUUAUUUUCGGAAAAUUAGGACUUUCCCGCGACUCGAGUCGCAAUGCUACUCGAGCGCAACGGGAAUUCAAUGUUUAGAAACUCCUACCCGCGUUAUGCUUCUGUCGGGGUACCCGCAAGCAACACGUCACCCCCGAGGAACGAGCAAAGAGAAGAACCCUCGCUCGUUCCUUUCUGCGAUCGUGUUCGCGUUGAUCGCAGUCGACGACGGAUCUGAUUGUUGUCAUACUCCUUCCUCUUUUGAUUUUCCUUUUCUCGCUUGAUUAUCUUUUUUUCCGGUUUACGCUUUUGGAUACGAGUUUGAAUGGAGCUCGAUGGGCAUAACGGCCUAAUGAGAAAAUCAGGAUGGUAAUUUCCAUGGUGUUUAAAACGCACAGGUCUGUUCGCGAAUUCGUUUGCCAAUUUGUAGUCACCUUGGAUUUUCAAGCCGCGACGGCUUUUCUACCCAUUUUCCUUCGAAACCCGAGAGACGUUUUCGUAAACCUUUUCGUUUAUCAUCGUGUUUAUCAACGUUAAUAAUUCACGCGUCGAGAAUACUUUCCUCCUUUCUACAGUCUCGGCAAAGGAUAUUUUCUUGCCGGGUUAACUCACUUUGAUCCGGUUUACGCGGCGACCUCUCGAAUCUCGAUUCCCGACCGAUUAUCCGCGUCGUUGCAAGCGGGCAGCCCCAGUCUCGUUUGACCAUGGCGUGUUUGUUUUAACCCCCGUGUUGUGAUACCAGGCGGUAUACUGUAUACAAAUAUCAUUAAGUUUUACAUUACAAUAUAUCGGUCAUUUUGCUUUUCUCGUUAAAGUUUAUGUGGCAUGUAUAUACGCAUUGUAUUCGUGGGAAAUGAGAACCAGUCUUAUGGCACCUGACUGUAGCGCAGGCAUAUUCUGUAACGUAAAAAUAUAUACAUCAUCUGUGUGGUAUGUAUAGUGCUGCUCUGUAACUCAAGAUUUUACAUCCAGUUUAUGCAUCAUUGUUAAUCCUGUACAAAAACGUUUAGCUACGCUUGAGGCAGAUUCAGCCCCUGUCGCGAACCCUGAGCCGCGCGAAUUCUCUCGCUCGUCACUCAUCAACUAUGGCAUCGUGAUUG